GGAGGGAGGGGGCGGGGACUCGCGCGGGCGCGCGCACAGGAGAGACCCCAGCGGGGCGCGCGCGCGGCGGCGGCGAAGAAGAAGAAGCCGUGACCAGAAGCCGCGCUGCCCACUGCGCAAGCGCCCGCGACAUGGCGCGCAGGCGCACGCUGGUCUUGGGCGGCCAAGUUUCCCGCCUUUCGCCUCCUCCCUCGCCUCAGCGCCCCUCCCCCCUGCGGCUUCUCGUGAGGAAAAAUUAGAGGGCGGGAGAAAGGCAAGGGGGGCCACCCUCACCAAGACCCCGUCUCUCCCUGAUAUAUCAGGAGCGCUUUUAUUUUUAAAAAGCAUUUGUUAGCCUGUCAUUUCCACCAAAACGUCUCCAAGCAAUUUCUAUAUAGCUUGAUUGAUCAAGGAUUAGUCAGUGAGUUAUUUACACGCAGGGCGACUUUAGCAAAGGGUUCCCACACGGAUCUGCACCCGUAAUGCUCCCAAUUUAUCUUUUUGCAAAAUGGAGCGUCUCGCUCUUUGAUCGCAUCCGCAGCGGGAGAAACUCGAGCGAAGCCACGAGUCGGGAAGAGUUGGGCCAAAAACGAAAUGGCCGCUGGGCAGAGACCAAGUGCCCCAGGUGAUAAAGACACCCAGCGGCUUCUUCCCAUCUUGCUUCAGAGUUUCUGAAUGGUUAGAUGGCUGAAUCAAUAUUCUCCAGUAAAAGGUUUUUAAAGCCAAUUCAUUGUUUCUUUUUCAACAAACAGCUGAUUCCUUCCAACCCAAAUAUCGGCAACGGGCGCCAUUUUGAGGAACUGCUGAGGGAAGACUGAGAAGUGACAUGUGAGGGAAGAACUGGUGAAAGCCUCUCAGUGACUUUUGGGGAAUGCCGCUCUCCGUUUUAGGGAGCUGGUCACCCCAGAGUAGCUCCCAGCUUCUCUUCUCCACAUUCCCACCACAUUUAUUGUCUCCAGAAUUGCAGCCAUUGAACUCUGCAGCACCAGGCAGGUUACCAAGACCAGCCCUGCGGCGAAGUAAAGCAACAUGGCGGCUGGUUUUUCACGAGGCAGGAAAAGGUGCAAAAUGUUAGUUAUUCCAUCGAAAGGACUCCUGAGGUUCAUCUAGUCCAGCCUCCUGCCAAUGCCAUGCAGGGAUCGCAGCGAAAUCAUCCCUGCCAGGUGCGGACCCAACCUUUGCUGAAAAUCCUCCAAUAAAGGAGACUCCAUCACCUUUAGCUUAAUAAUGCCUUGUUACUGUGGUUUUAUUUCCACUUGCAGGAUUUUCUGCCUUGAGUCCCGCAAUAAUGGGCAGCCUCGCUCUGGAAGGGAGCUCUUUGGUUCUUGCGCCUCAGGCAGCGAAGGUCUCGGCCUCCCACCUGGCUCUGGUUCGCCCCACAGAACUUGGGUUUUUCGCAUAGCUGCCAACGUUUCCCUUUUUUAAAGGGAAAUUCCCUUAUUCUGAAUAGGAUUCCUCGCAAGAAAAGGGAAAAGUUGACAGCUAUGGUUCCUCGUUGCUGAGAAGACGGGAGGAUGAGCCCCAAAGCCACCGCCGCAACUCCAAAUGCCACCGCACAUAAGUGAAGAGAUCGGCUUUGCACCGUCGUUUCCCCAAGGGGGCUCCUGGGCCACAGGUCUGUGGUCCUCCAUGGCACCCACCGCUUUGGAUGCGUUUUGCUUCCCCUGGGGAUGGCCUUUUGCAGCCAGGAGCCGCCUGAGGAGCCACAAGUGUGUGCUGCCUGCUCAGCCCAGAUCCCCACACCAGGCUGCACAAAAUACCUUGCUGCUCUUAAUAUCUUUUCCCUGGACCUGCUCCUCUCUCAUUAGAGCUAAUUAAUUGCUGCCGUAGAAAGGGUAAAUUAUUCAGCAGGGAAGAAGCCAGCCGGUGGUUCCAUUGUGGCACCGUUAUGAUGCGCGGCCUGAGUCAGAGAGCAAUUAAAGGCUUGGCGCGCAGCAGCCGCAGCUGCGGGGGGGGGGGGUUGCGCCUGAUGUCGCUGCCGCCCUCUCUCCCCUUCCGCGCCCUCAUUAGCUGCAGCUGACAUUGUUGCCUUUGCAUGUUUCUGCCCUCCGUUCUGUUAUCUCUUCCUGCCUCCCGCUUGCCAUCUUUGGCUCCCACACAGAGUCCUCUGAUGCUGUCACAGAGUGUUCUUCUCGUUUCUCCUCCUUUCCCUCACAUCCUCACAUCCCGAUCCUAUGUAGAGUGGAAAACCAACAGGCAGCACGCCUAUCCUUGCCGAGGCCUACAUCCUAUACAGGGGGGUUUAUUCAUUAGGACUUUCUUUGAAGCAAACAUGCAUAUGGUGAUGGAGAAAGUGUUGGGUUUUGGUCCCGGCAAUUAAAAAAAAUCAGUCUGCUGCAGCCAGCAAGCUAUUUACUAUAUUUAUUUAUAAACUGCUUCCCUACCAGGCUUCAGUACAUCCUUUCACUGGCGCUAUUCUGCAGUCUUACCUCAGUAUUGAAACUGCAUUUUUAUAUCAGAAAAUGGGGGGAGAAAACAAACCUUGAGAAUUUCUAAAAUGUGGUCAUAAAUUUGGGAGCUUCCCUGACAAACUCUACUGAUAAUUUCAUCUUUUUUUACAAAGUGACUCUUCAGGUUGCAUUCUUACAUGGGGAGAAAAAUUACCUUUGAAAUUAGAACACUUAUUGACACCGUUGCCCUCAAUAUGCUUCCAUAUCACUAUAAACUCUACACAUGCCCAGAUACUCAUUAAUGCAUGCAUACAUAACCAAAGAAUGUAUUGGAUAUUCAAUAUUAUUUUUUCAUCACCAGUUUCUCAAUAAGCACUUUUCAGGGGCAAAAUAUAUACCGUACAGUAUGCAAUAGAUCUAGAUUAUGUGAGGACUGAAAACAAGUAUUCAAUCUCCAGUUGUUCUAGAAUAAAAUGUUGUGUGUGACAAUUUGCAAGCAGGCUUUCUUGGUGAUAGUACCCAUCCUUUGGAAUGUUCUCUGUCAGGUAUUAGUGUGGUAGAGAGAAUAAUGACCUUUAAAUGCAUCUUAAAAGUUUAUGCAAGCUUUCAUUAACCCUGGCUCUUAACUUUCUAUUUUUUUUGUUUUGUAUACAGGUGUCUCCCCACUUACGUGCAUUCAGCUUGCACGACUGUGUAUAUGUGUGACGCCGGGAAAUAAAUCAAUUUAAAUUGCAAAAAGACACGAAAAUGGCCCAAAAAGAUACCAGCAACAGCAAGUGAAUCUGACACACAGCCAGCCUCUUCGGGGCACCAAUCUCCCUCCCUGCCCUUGUUGUUGAUUCCACAACACCCUCCAGUGAUGAGGAAGACUAAGAGCCACCAUUGCCACAAUUCAUGCCAGUCUGGUAAGUGCUCCUGGUUUUUUAAAGGAUUUUGCAAAGGUUUCCAGAGGUUUAGAAGGCUUUUUAGAUGGUGUUCCCUACUAUAUGUGAUAUCACGUAUACGUGCGGUACCCGGAAACGUAACCCUCGCAUAAGUGGGGAAACGUCUGUACUGUUCACUUUUAUCAGUGUGUAAUAUACAAAUGGUAUAUUUUCGUAAACUGCAAAUUUGCAUUUGCAUUUUGGUUUUAUCUGAUUUUUAUAUAACUGUAUUGAAUGUUGUAUUUUUAUUGUUUUUAUAUAAACUGCUUGGAUUUGUAUAAGAGGUAUAAAAUGUAAAAAAUGAACAUGUUAUGCAAUUUCUAAUUAUCUGGAAACAUUUUCAUGGAGUUCACAGGAUACCAGGAUCCUGGUAGUUUUGUACAUACGCUCAUGAGGGGCUGAGCUAGUUUUGUUGGCAGCGAGUCUGAUCCUGCAAGGGUUCAGAGAAUGGAAUUACUUGUGAGGAUGAAGCAUGAUGGAGAUGUGAGUAACAAUCCAAUCUGACACUUCUGCAGAUAUCCUUCCGUUUCCUAAAGCACACUAAAUCCAGGCCUUCAAAAUAUUAGGAAGCAGAGUGAUGGCCACUUUGGGAAUCCCGAUCAUUGACAGCAAUGGAGAAUCAGCAUUUAAGCUGAGCAUGUGAGCCAUUCAGAGUGAAAGGAAAGAAUCUCUGCAGCACCCUAUUGUGGUUUAGCCACUUCCUGAUUGCAGCUUGAAGUCUCUCCCCUAAUGACUUCCUCCUUCCUCACUGUAGAGGGGAAACCCUUUCAGUAACCUCACCAAAACUCAGACCACAAUCAUAAUCUAAUGAAACAAAAUACAGUUAAUAAGAGAUUUGUGCUUCUAAGAGAUUAUUUUACCAAUUUAUGACAACUAUCACCCAUUACUGAAAUAAAUAAGGACAGAACCCUAGUGGAAAUAGGUGGGUGCAGCCACUUAAUGGAGUUCAAAAGGAUUAAUUCAGAUCCUCUGGUAGACCUGAUAGGAUAGUACUGAAAUGGACAAAAAGCAGGGGAGAGCAGUAUAACAGGAAAGCACUUUCCUUGGGUUUUGCAAGUUCAGGCCUGCAAGUUUGAUGAGAAGAGUAUUUACAAUGUCAUCAUUAAGUAAAGAGUUGCCUCAAAGCCAGGUCUUGGCUCAUCUUUUGUAAAUAAAGCAACUAACCAUG